GGGUCGGUGCUCGAGUGGUUAAUGAGGUCGGUUUGUAAAACCGAUGGCUAUGCCUACACUGGUUCAAAUCCAGUCCGGCCCA
rnacentral:tRNA from 1 species